GUAAUCCCCGCCCGCUCUCCCUCUCUUUCCUCCCUCUCCUCUUCCAUCUCGUCUUCUCUGGCAAUGAGGAGCUCCAGCCAGCAGCCAGUAAAGACCCUGCCCACCCCGCAACAGUUGGCACAACCCUCCCUUGGUGUUGAACGGCGACGAUUCUCUAGGAAAAGGAGAACACACGUUAAAUGCGAGAACAUUAGGCUACAAUUCAGGCCACCUUUGGUAGCGUUCCGGUAAGGGAAAUGGAGAAAACACCUCAACACCUCAUGGGAUUCAUUUUCCAACCAGCCAAUGCCCCAAACUGACGCUCAAAGAGAGAGAGAUUCGAGGAGAGAGAAACUCUUGGGUUUUGUCACUUUUCUGCGAGAUUUCGGCCAAUUUGACCAUUGGAUCAGAAAUUUGAGAUCACCGUUGAACUCAGAGCGACGAA
rnacentral:misc_RNA from 1 species